AAAGGGUAGAUCUUGGAUCCAAACUGCCACUAUAAAAACCAAUCCCCGCUCUCUCCGCGAACUGGUAGAGUAUUUCUAGACAAUUUUAUUCCUCCUCCUUCAGAUCUCUCUCUCUCUCUCUCUCUCUUACAAGCGCCACAGGAGUGAUCCAAAGAGAUUGCAAAAGAAGAGGAACCAUGGUGAAGAUCUGCUGUAUUGGAGCUGGAUAUGUCGGAGGGCCAACUAUGGCCGUCAUAGCACUUAAGUGCCCAUCCAUUGAGGUGGCUGUAGUUGAUAUCUCUGCUCCUCGAAUUAAUGCCUGGAACAGUGAUCAGCUUCCAAUUUAUGAGCCAGGUCUUGAAGAAGUGGUGAAGGAGUGCCGUGGCAGGAACCUCUUCUUUAGCACAGCUGUGGAGAAACAUGUAUGUGAGGCAGAUAUAGUCUUUGUUUCUGUCAACACUCCCACCAAGACCAGAGGUCUCGGAGCAGGCAAAGCUGCAGAUCUAACAUACUGGGAGAGUGCAGCCCGCAUGAUUGCUGAUGUCUCAAAAUCUGACAAAAUUGUUGUUGAGAAAUCAACAGUUCCAGUCAAGACAGCUGAGGCCAUUGAAAAAAUUCUGACUCACAACAGCAAAGGAAUUAACUUCCAGAUCCUCUCAAAUCCUGAGUUUCUUGCAGAGGGAACUGCAAUUCAGGAUCUUUUCAAGCCCGACAGGGUCCUCAUUGGAGGCCGGGAAACCCCUGGAGGCCAGAAAGCUAUUCAAGUGCUAAAAGAUGUUUAUGCUCAGUGGGUUCCUGAAGAUUGCAUCAUCACCACCAAUUUAUGGUCUGCUGAGCUCUCAAAGCUUGCUGCAAAUGCAUUCCUGGCACAGAGAAUCUCAUCUGUUAAUGCCAUGUCAGCGCUUUGUGAGGCAACUGGAGCAGAUGUUACUCAGGUAUCUUAUGCUGUUGGAAAAGACACAAGAAUUGGUCCCAAGUUCCUCAAUGCUAGUGUUGGAUUUGGUGGCUCUUGCUUCCAGAAGGACAUUCUGAACCUGGUUUAUAUUUGUGAGUGCAAUGGCCUUCCUGAGGUGGCAGAGUACUGGAAGCAAGUUAUCAAGAUAAAUGAUUACCAAAAGAAUCGUUUUGUCAACCGCUUGGUUUCCUCAAUGUUUAAUACAGUUGCAAAUAAGAAAAUUGCUGUCCUAGGUUUUGCUUUUAAGAAAGAUACUGGCGAUACAAGAGAGACCCCAGCUAUUGAUGUCUGCAAGGGGCUUUUGGUGACAAAGCAAGGGUGUGCAUAUAUGACCCACAAGUGACUGAGGAUCAAAUCCAGAGAGACCUUAAUAUGAACAAGUUUGAUUGGGAUCAUCCCUUGCACCUCCAGCCAAUGAGUCCCACCACUGUCAAGCAAGUCAGUGUAGUUUGGGAUGCCUACGAGGCAACCAAGGAUGCCCAUGCUGCAUGCAUUCUCACAGAGUGGGAUGAGUUUAAGACUCUUGAUUACCAGAGGAUAUAUGACAACAUGCAGAAACCAGCUUUUAUCUUUGAUGGUAGGAACAUUGUCAAUGUGGAUAAGAUGAGGGAGAUUGGGUUUAUUGUGUAUUCAAUUGGAAAGCCACUGGAUGCCUGGCUCAAGGACAUGCCUGCUGUUGCUUAAAAUGCAGCCUUUGAUCUUGUGGCUUGUAUCAGGACCAGUGAAGAUAGAAGUGAAGCAGUCAGCGGGAUUCAUUACCAUUUUUUUUUUUUCCAUAGACUCAGUUUCUGAUCUUUACGUUUUUGUUUUGUAGUCAAGAGGACCUUUGGCGUCGCUGUCUCCAUUUUAAGUAAGAAGCUUUGUGUUUACCCUUACAUUGUAUUUUGAUGAUACUACAUUUUUGCCGUUGGCUGUAAGGACCUGAUUUCUUCCUUUUUUGGUUUAUAAAAUGAUUACGAGUUCUAGAAACCCGUGUUAUUAGUGCA